GACGCUGGAGGUGGUUCCUGUCCCCAUGUGAUGGCUCUUGUUCCUCUUGGUGGCCCUCAUCCUCGUUCUUGUUCCUCCUGGUGGCCCUCAUCCUCGUUCUUGUCCCUCCUGGUGGUCCUCUACCUCCCUUGGAGACACUGGAGGUGGUUGCUGUCCCCGCGUGAUGGCUCUUGUCCCUCCUGGUGGCCCUCAUCCUUGUUCUUGUAUCUCCUGGUGGCCCUCAUCCUCCCUGGGGGAUGCAGAGGUUGGUUCCUGUCCCCACAUGAUGGCCCUUGGCCCUCCUGGUGGCCGUCAUCCUUGUUCUUGUCCCUCCUGGUGGCCUUCGGCCUCCCUUGGGGACACUGGGGGUGGUUGCUGUGCCCGCGUGAUGGCUCUUGUUCCUCCUGGUGGCCCUCUACCUCCCUGGGGGACUCUGGAGGUGGUUGCUGUCACCACGUGAUAGCUCUUGUUCCUCCUGGGGGCCCUUGGCCUCCCUCGGGGACGCUGGGGGUGGUUCCUGUCCCCACGUGAUGGCUCUUGUUCCUCCUGGUGGC
rnacentral:lncRNA from 1 species